rnacentral:misc_RNA from 1 species
GAUGAAGAACGUAGUGAAAUGCGAUAAGUAAUGCGAAUUGCAGAAUUUCCGUGAGUCAUCGAGUCUUUGAACGCACAUUGCGCCCCCUGGUAUUCCGGGGGGCAUGCCUGUCCGAGCGUCAUUGCUGCCCUCAAGCACGGCUUGUGUGUUGGGCCUCCGUCCUCCUCCCGGGGGACGGGCCCGAAAGGCAGCGGCGGCACCGCGUCCGGUCCUCGAGCGUAUGGGGCUUCGUCACCCGCUCUUGUAGGCCCGGUCGGCGCUUGCCGACACAUCAAUCUUUUUUCCAGGUUGACCUCGGAUCAGGUAGGGAUACCCGCUGAACUUAAGCAUAUCAAUAAGCGGAGGA